UGGCCUGUAGCUCAGUGGUUUAGAGCAGGCGACUCAUAAUCGCUCGGUCGCUGGUUCGAAUCCAGUCGGGCCAACCA
rnacentral:tRNA from 1 species